rnacentral:lncRNA from 1 species
UCUAGAAGAAAUUAUUGAAUUUCUGAGCGGAAUAUAGGUUUAAAUCAGGAUCUUGCUGAAGGAUCUUAGAAGUUUGUGGGUUAAUUGGGUUAAGAAGGAGGAGAUUUGGGUCCAAAGAGAUUUUUUUUUUUUUUUAAAAUACCAGAGCAAAAGCUCUGUUCUCUCUUUUUUUUUUUUUCUCUCGCGAGGAAGAAGGGUUCUCUGGUUUCGGG